UACAGAGGUCUCAAGCGUUGUUCGGAAUCACUGGGCGUAAAGGGUGCGCAGGCGGCCAAGUGUGUGAGGCGUGAAAGCCCGGGGCUUAACCCCGGAAUUGCACCUCAAACUACAUGGCUAGAGCAUUGGAGAGGGUAGCGGAAUUCACGGUGUAGCAGUGAAAUGCGUAGAUAUCGUGAGGAACACCAGAGGCGAAGGCGGCUACCUGGACAAUUGCUGACGCUCAGGCACGAAAGCGUGGGGAGCAAAAGGG
rnacentral:rRNA from 1 species